rnacentral:rRNA from 1 species
AUUGAACGCUGGCGGCAUGCUUUACACAUGCAAGUCGAACGGUAACAGGCCGCAAGGUGCUGACGAGUGGCGAACGGGUGAGUAAUGCAUCGGAACGUGCCCAGUCGUGGGGGAUAACGCAGCGAAAGCUGCGCUAAUACCGCAUACGAUCUAUGGAUGAAAGCGGGGGACCGUAAGGCCUCGCGCGAUUGGAGCGGCCGAUGUCAGAUUAGGUAGUUGGUGGGGUAAAGGCUCACCAAGCCAACGAUCUGUAGCUGGUCUGAGAGGACGACCAGCCACACUGGGACUGAGACACGGCACAGACUCCUACGGGAGGCAGCAGUGGGGAAUUUUGGACAAUGGGCGCAAGCCUGAUCCAGCAAUGCCGCGUGCAGGAAGAAGGCCUUCGGGUGGUAAACUGCUUUUGUACGGAACGAAACGGUCUGGGUUAAUACCCUGGGCUAAUGACGGUACCGUAAGAAUAAGCACCGGCUAACUACGUGCCAGCCGCCGCAGUAAUAC